ACCCUGGUGAUUUGAGUCUCGCAUUUCCAGC
rnacentral:piRNA from 1 species